rnacentral:rRNA from 1 species
UACGUAGGGUGCAAGCGUUAAUCGGAAUUACUGGGCGUAAAGCGUGCGCAGGCGGUUCGCUAAGACAGAUGUGAAAUCCCCGGGCUUAACCUGGGAACUGCAUUUGUGACUGGCGGGCUAGAGUAUGGCAGAGGGGGGUAGAAUUCCACGUGUAGCAGUGAAAUGCGUAGAGAUGUGGAGGAAUACCGAUGGCGCAAGCGACUCGCUGGGCCAUUACUGACACUGAGGAACGAAAGCUAGGGGAGCAAAUGGG